UGGGGAAUAUUGGACAAUGGGGGCAACCCUGAUCCAGCCAUGCCGCGUGAGUGAUGAAGGCCUUCGGGUUGUAAAGCUCUUUUGGCGGGGACGAUGAUGACGGUACCCGCAGAAUAAGCCCCGGCUAACUUCGUGCCAGCAGCCGCGGUAAGACGAAGGGGGCUAGCGUUGUUCGGAAUUACUGGGCGUAAAGCGAGUGUAGGUGGUUGUCAUAGUCAGGUGUGAAAGCCUUGAGCUCAACUCAAGAAAUGCACUUGAUACUGGGCGACUAGAGGACCGGAGAGGAUAGUGGAAUUCCCAGUGUAGUGGUGAAAUUCGUAGAUAUUAGGAAGAACACCGGUGGCGAAGGCGGCUCACUGGCUCGAUACUGACACUGAGGUGCGAAAGCGUGGGGAGCAAACAGGAUUAGAUACCCCUGUAGUCCCUGAGCGGGCUGGCAAGGCGCAU
rnacentral:rRNA from 1 species